AUGGCGAGUGGAGGUGAUCGGGGGUUCCCCUUUGAGGCUUGGUGGCUGCAAGAGGAGGGGUGCGGUGAUGAGAUUCAAGGAGCAUGGGAGGAGGGAUGCAUGAAGGAGAGAGGUGAUGUCGCUACUGCAAUGACUAAUGUGGCUAGGAGGAUGAGGAAGUGGAGCAGGGAGGUGGAUCUCUUCACUUCCGCGGGUUUCAACCGCCUGCCGGAACUCAUCAAUAAGGUUCAACCCUGUGUGACUCCUGCAAUGAGAGCAAUCCUGGAAGCAGAGGUCACACGGGAAGAGGUGAAGGCGGCGCUCGACCACAUUGGUGAUCUAAAGGCCCCGGGUCUUGACGGGAUUCCCUUGAUCGUCUACAAGAAGCAUUGGCAUUUCAUGGGGGACAAAGUGGUAGAUGAGGUGAUUGCGGUGCUGAACGGAGGAGCUAUGCCGCCAGGGUGGAAUGACACGGUUGUGCCUACUCCAUGGGCUGCAUCUUUUCCGGGAUGGGUACAUUUGGAGGAUUGGCGACGGUACUCAACUGAAGAUUUGGUCUGA
rnacentral:rRNA from 1 species